AGGUAGCAUGAUCAUUAGCUUUUUAAUUGUGAGCAAGUACAAACGAUUUGACGAGAGAAACACUGUCUCUUCGAGGUGUGUGAAUUUUAUAUAAAGGUAAAAAAGCCUUUAAAUUUUAAAGGGACGACAAGACCCUAAAAUCUUUUCUUAUAUUUUAUAUCUAUCAUAAUAAGUAAAAUUAUAUAAAAUUACUGGGGCGGUAAAAAUUAAUCCAAUUUAAGUUAAUACGUAUUGCACGAAUCUGUAAAACCUCUAACAAAAAUAAAAAGAUACUUUAGGGAUAACAGCACGAUUUACUUUAAGAGCUCUUAUCGACAAGUAAUUUGUGACCUCGAUGUUGAAUUGAAUUACUUAUUUAA
rnacentral:rRNA from 1 species